UUUGGUAGAAUUCACUGGGAAAGCCAUCUGUUCCUGAAUUUUUCUUUCUUGGGAGGUUUUUAAUUACUGAUUCAACCCCUUUAAUGUUCUAGUGUCGCAGGCGAGUGGGAGAGACGCUGGUCCUUGUCUCACCGAGUUGAGCAAUGAAUCUCGCAGACACGGGAGUGAGCAAAGAGACAGAGUAUAUUGAGCCAAGUACAAAGCUCUCAAGGGUGAGAGGGGUCCCGACUGGGUUGCCGCCAAGGAUUUUUGCCCCUGACUUUUUAAUGGGACCUUAUCAGGAACUGGAUACUUAGUUUAGGUGCCAUCCAUGGCGCCUAACACAGGCAGGGCUGGAGUGUGUUUAUCCCUUCCCCCCCACCCCAAACCCUCUGCUGCUGCCUCCCACCCUCAGCUGAAGUCAGCCUCCCCAAAGGUCCCUUAUCUCUCCCUGCCUACUGUUAACCCUUUCCCUACUCAUUCCUCCCCCCUGGAAUAGGAUCCCUCACUGCCAUUAGGGACCAAGGACAGUGACAGUUCUGGCUUCUUCAAGCUGAAGAGGGACGGCGUAAGGGGAUGGCACUCAGAGUCUACCAAGGGUCGGUCGAGUGGUCCCCGGUUAUGGCUCCACAGGAAGGCUGGCAGGCAUGAAGCGGCACAGACAUCAGCAGCCACAAAGAGAAAACCACAAAUGACUGCGCUGACCAACAAGAUGGCGCCCGGGAAGGCCUCUACCCGAUUAGAAAAGCAUCAGCCCGUACCAACAGAUGCUGGAGCCCUUUUGACCUUGGCACCUGCAUGCACUCUGAUUGUCUGUCUUCCCCGGGAUGGCUUCCAGUUCCCUGACUGCCUGGGAGGGCAAGGUCGUGGUUCAAAGGAUUGUUUCUAAGACAGACGUCACAGGCCGAAACUACUUGUUGAACUGUCCUUGACAGAUUUUUCCCGCAUCGAUCUGACCAUAAGAUAGUACUGUGCUGAGUACUUCCCUCAGGAGGCCAGGACUCUCCAUCCCCCAGGCGAUACUGAGGCCACGCCUGGGAACAACCACCACCACAACAAACUUCAUGCACUUCUCUUUGAGCAUUUGUAGAUCCAAUCUUUCCCAAUUUUUCAGAACACCUUCCAGAGGAGUUUCCCAGCUCGAGAUCCCGACAGAAGUCAAGAGCCUCCAUACCUGGUGUAUCAGAGAGGUGACAAGAUGGCGUCCCUACAUAUCAGCUCUUGCCGCCUCCCAGCGGCACAUGGGAGAAGAAGUCAGCUGCAAAAGAAAGGGAGCAGGGGUCGACAACUGGAAGAAUUGUCGCCCCGAACAACUCGUCGUUCCCAUAUUUAUUGGGAAAGGGAGAACAAUCAUCAAAAGACAUCAAGAUGUAUCGCAUUGUUCAAAGAGCGUUCUCAAGAGAAGAGCGGAACUUGCUUAAAGCGUGUAGCGGGGGUCAUCUAGGGCCGAGCGAGCACAAUCGAAGCAUCUGCUCAGAUCCGUGGCGGGUGAUCGUGGUCUCGGAGGAAGUGGAGAAGUACAGACGAAAGCAGGCGGCUGUCCGCCUUGAGCGGGCCAGGCGUUCCCGGCUGCUCGGCUUCGUGACGGACAUCAGCCGCCUCUCCAGAGAGACCUUUCAAUAUACAUUUUCUCAAGGCUCUAUUAUUUCCGGCCUAGCUCUGCAUCAUGCUUUUUCUCCAACCAUCACGUUGUGGUGAGGGGCCGUCACCAGCUUUCCCCAUUUUGGAGCAAGGUAUCCCUUGAUUUGCCUUUCCCAAAGUUAGAGAAUGGCCUGACACCUUUGGUUGAAGAAGGAUUGGGCCCUCGGGAGGAGCCAUUCUGACCCACUGCUUCAGCCCCCACACAACCCUUCCCUUCCCCCUCUGGGUUCUUCUAGAUCCCUUAAAUCUUAGGAGUCCAGUGAGGUUGGCCAUCCAAGGUUUGUCAUUUAUAAAGGUGAUGGGUGCAGGCAAACAACUGGGGCGAUUAUGGGGGGGGCGGGUGCUGCUGAUGGAGGAGGUUUCCCCAGGCCGUGACCCCCCAGGGCCAGUCUCCAUCCUUUUAUGGGUCUCAGGUGCCCACGGGAACCAUAGGGCAGGUUCAGAGCACUGGAUCGCCAGUCCUUACGUGCGCCCCCCGGACAGAGAAAGUCUCACGACCUCAUUCUCCGGAGCCUCCUUGGUUGGGCCCUCAUUACUUGGUUGUACCAAUUUGCACCCCCAACCCAUGGACUCUAGUCCAUAAGAUUAAUUAUUUCUUCGCCUCACCCCAAGCAUCCUUUCUUCCUGCGUGCCUGAUGUCCUAUCGGCGGACGGGUCCCGAUCGAAGGGUGUAAUCCUUGAGACCCGGUAGCACUACAGUUCCCGACUUUUUGUUGCCGAAACAAGAAAGCUUCAAUAACAACCUAUUAAGGUUCCCGCUGCUAUUGUGCACAAAGGCGGCUCUGGUGGUAGAUCUGUGCUCCCACUCUUUUUUUGUUUUUAAUUUUUUUUAAUAUUUAUUCAUUUUUGAGAGAGAGAGAGAGA